rnacentral:tRNA from 1 species
AGUGGGGUAGAGGAAUUGGUCAACUCAUCAGGCUCAUGACCUGAAGACUGCAGGUUCGAAUCCUAUCCCCGCCU